rnacentral:rRNA from 1 species
AUGGUAGGAUAGAGGCCUACCAUGGUGGUAACGGGUAACGGGGUGUUAGGGCACGACACCGGAGAGGGAGCCUGAGAAACGGCUACCACAUCCAAGGAAGGCAGCAGGCGCGCAAAUUACCCAAUCCCGACACGGGGAGGUAGUGACAAUAAAUAACAAUACAGGGUUCUUUGAAUCUUGUAAUUGGAAUGAGUACAAUUUAAAUCUCUUAACGAGGAACAAUUGGAGGGCAAGUCUGGUGCCAGCAGCCGCGGUAAUUCCAGCUCCAAUAGCGUAUAUUAAAGUUGUUGCAGUUAAAAAGCUCGUAGUUGAAUUUCGGGAUCAAUACGUCGGUCGUGCUUUCGGGUACGUACUGGCGUCAUUGGUUUCUCCUUUCUGACGAACCAUGAUGUCAUUAAUUUGGUGAUAUGGGGAGUUAGGACUGUUACUUUGAAAAAAUUAGAGUGUUUAAAGCAGGCAUUAGCUUGAAUACAUUAGCAUGGAAUAAUGAAAUAGGACGUUCGAUCCUAUUUUGUUGGUUUCUAGGAUCAACGUAAUGAUUAAUAGGGAUAGUUGGGGGCAUUAGUAUUCAAUUGUCAGAGGUGAAAUUCUUGGAUUUAUUGAAGACUAACUACUGCGAAAGCAUUUGCCAAGGAUGUUUUCAUUAAUCAAGAACGAAAGUUAGGGGAUCGAAGACGAUCAGAUACCGUCGUAGUCUUAACCAUAAACUAUGCCGACUAGGGAUCGGAUGAUGUUAAUUUUUUAAUGACUCAUUCGGCGCCUUACGGGAAACCAAAGUGUUUGGG